AAUCUAUUUAUUAACUUGUGGCAUUUGCUUACAUACAAAAAAUAGUUAUAUUUAAAUUUGCAUGCCUAAUAAUAUUUCUCAUUUUCAUCACACAAUGCGGGCUGUUCUCGAACUAAGCAAUAAUAAAAAAAAUUGAUCAUUUUCCUCUUAAAUCUGCUAUAAUUGUUGUAAAGUUUAUCCACAUGAUUUAGCUGGGUUUCCAACCAGUGCUUAAAGGGUUUAUUCAUAUCUUAGUUUCUUUCUUUCCCGGUAUCUUCUACUCUUCUUCCUUUUUUAAAUAGUCCUCCUCUCGAUCCUCUUCUUAUUAAGCUAACUCAACAGUACACUGAAUAUAUAAAUUUAUCCUUAUAAUUUUCCUUACUCCACUUAUUGACUUAGCUGGUUUUCCAACCACUGCUUAAACAGUUUAUCUAAGUUCCUCUCCUUCCUGGUAUCUUCUACUCUUCUUCCUCUUUUAAAAGAUUUUCCAUAAUAUCGAUUCUCUUCUACACUGGAUAUAUAAAUUUAUCCUUAUAAUUUUCCUUCCUCCACUUAUUGACUUAUCUGGUUUUCCAACCACUGCUUAAACGGUUUAUCCAAAGUUAUCCAAACUGCGUUUUAUCGCCUCCCGCGUCUCGCUUCGC